AAAAAAAAAAAAAAAAAAAUCUCUGCAUGAUAGUUUUUUCUAAUUUCUACCAAGAUUUUGGAUAAUUUCAAAGGAAAGAAGUAUUAAUUACAUCACAUUUUUAUAUGUACAAAUUCUGAGUGUGAUAAAAUACAUAUUAGAACAGUGAGUUAAUUGGUUAUAUCUUGUAAGGAUAAAAUAAUAUCUGCUGAAAAUGAGUUCACUCAAACUUACCUUCACGAGAUCGUCCCUUACUCA
rnacentral:misc_RNA from 1 species